rnacentral:tRNA from 1 species
AGAGGCUUAGGAUAGCAUAAGACCGGGAGCCUUCAAAGCUCUAAGCAGAAGUGAAAAUCUUCUAGCCCCUG